UGGGGAAUAUUGCACAAUGGACGGAAGUUUGAUGCAGCGACGCCGCGUGGAGGGUGUAGGCCUUCGGGUUGUGAACUCCUUUUUCUCGCGAAAAAGGCACAGUUUUGGCUGUGUUGAUGGUAGUGGGGGAAGAAGCACCGGCUAACUACGUGCCAGCAGCCGCGGUGAUACGUAGGGUGCGAGCGUUGUCCGGAAUUAUUGGGCGUAAAGAGCUUGUAGGCGGUUUGUCGCGUCGAUAGUGCAAACUCAGUGCUUAACGCUGAGCCUGCUGUUGAUACGGGCAGACUAGAGGAAGGUAGGGGAGAAUGGAAUUCCCGGUGGAGCGGUGGAAUGCGCAGAUAUCGGGAGGAACACCGGUGGCGAAGGCGGUUCUCUGGGCCUUUCCUGACGCUGAGAAGCGAAAGCGUGGGGAGCGAACAGG
rnacentral:rRNA from 1 species